GAGUCCGAGAAUGAUUUCCAAUCCGAUAAAGCAUUCCAAGUUCGGAAACCUGAAACAUAUAUCCCAUACAGUGCCGGUCCGGACAUCUGUGGUGCCAAAAGCACACUCCCAAUAUGCUGCCCUUAACUAUAAUUUUUUUUCCUUAAAAAAUAUGAAUAUAUAAUUCGAUAAUGUAAAUAUUAUUAAUCUCUAAAUUGUUCUCAUAGAAUAAAAUGUUAAAAGAAGUAAUACAUUAUUCAUGAAAGAUAACUCUUCUUAUUUUUUUCCCUGCAAAAUCAUUUAUCAACUUCAAAUAAUCAAGUUUUUCCACUAAUUCAUGCUCUAUUGAUAUCAUCGACAGUCCAUUCAAACGCUCCUCGGACAUAGUCGAACGUAGAUAAUUCUUUAUGAGCUUCAACUUUGAAAAACUUCUUUUGCAGAAGCAACUGAAAUCAGAAUGGUUAGUAAUAUACAAUAAGCAAUCCGUAUGUUUGGAUAACAACCAUCCAUUCUUUUUAGAAAUUUCAA
rnacentral:lncRNA from 1 species